ensembl:lncRNA chromosome partition protein Smc
AAACAGCCAAAAUGGGGUCUAAAAGCAUCAACACAGAUUCCCUGGAUGGGACAAGAGUGGGGAACCCAGAGGCCCUCAGCCAACUACAAAUCCCAUGAUUCCACAGGAAAGAGAUGCGGGACGAAAUUGGUAUCAAGGGUCCGCUCCGGAUUUCAUUCCUCUGGUUUUCCCACAUAUCCUGCCUCCAACUUCUCCAAAAAUUGAAUGUCUGGCUCUUUUCUUUGAGGAAGGGGGCGUGGCCAGAGACAGGGAGGGAGGAGCCAGCUACGGGCAGGGGUGUGGCUUAAACAAAAGGGGUGGAGCCAUCAGAAAGCGCGCUGGGGGGCAACUUUUCUUUUUUUUAACACGGUUAAAAGACUAUACUCUUUUGCAGACCCGGUUGGAUGCCAACCUAUCGGCCCUCCAGAACGAGAUGUUCACCCUCCAGGCUGAAGGAAUGGAUGUGAACAGUCAGAAUGGGGCCCUCCUAGCGGAAAUGGCCCAGUGGCGUGAGCAGGUGACGGGACUCGAAGGCCGGCUGGCGGGCGCCGUGGAUGCGCGAGAUGCCGCCGAGGCCGAGAAGGAGGCCUGCAACGCCAGGCAGGAUGCGCUCCAAGAAAGCCUGCAGAGCUACCUGGCUGAGAUCGCCUCCCUCCAGCGCCGCCUCCAGGGCCGGUCCUCGCCCUCGUCCUCGUCCCGCCGCAGGUGCCCCCCCUUCCGGUACUUAUUCUGGGGGCUGGUGACCCUUUGCGCUCUGUUCCCCCUUGUAAGUUGGAGAGGAAAGAGCGGGUGUGUGCAGGGAGGGGGGUGAGAGCACAAGAGGGAAUAUGAGGGGCUCCAUGUUGGGCACUCAAAAAGGGGCCCCGUGUUAAUUAGUCUUCAGAGUAACACAGGGCUCUGCUGAAGUGGUACUCUUCAAAGUAACACAGAGCUCUGUUCACCUAGUAGUUUUCAAAGUGACACAGGAUUCUUUCAUUCUUCAUCUAACAGACUGAGACAACCCUCUUGCCUCCCAGAUUUCAUAAAUCUGUUAGCUUUCCAGGUAUCACUGAACUUCUAGUUGUCUCUCCAGCUGACGAACAAGGCCUCCCAGUUCGGAAACGACUGCGUAUAAAAGGUCUGAGGCUUCAAUCCUGUAGUCUGUUCAGUUCUCUGAGAGUAAAUCCAUUAAACUCCACGAAACGUACUUCUGAGUAGACCUUUUUAGGACAGCAGGCUUUCUGGAUUCAUGGGAUUAAGCAUCCCUGGAAGCUGAGGCCAUAAUGAUUAUGUCAGCCUUCAGAGUCACACAAGGUUCUUCACUACCUAUGCAGUUAUUUCUAGCCCCUUUUCGGGAACUGUGGGUUGCUGUUUUUUAACUAUAAUUUUAAUUAUUUUCCAGGAAGGGCUGAGCUUUCUCCUCUAGUCUAGAGGACCUAAACGGUGCCUUUGACGGGCAGGAGAUGAGGAAACGGUGUUUUUCUUCACCCAUUGUCUUCAAGGAUGAGGAGACCCACUCCAGAUCUGCUGGGAUAUUACACUUUCAAGAAAGAACCAAGAGGGAGAAAAAUUCAGGGUGCUCCUAACCAUCAAAACAAGACAAUUUUAAAAAAAUGUGUUGGAAUGUAACUUUCCAAUGAAUUAAAAUUUAUGAAUUUUUUUCCUGUCAAGUUGGAUGUUUUUUUUAAAAAAAAUUCAAUCUCAGGGUUGCAAAGAAGGAACACCGCCAUUUAAUAUAUAUAUAUGUUAUCAUUUUUACGGCUUUUUUCCCCUCCUUGAAUCAGCUCCACUUGUCCAGGGCUCUUCUGCCUGAUUCGCCCUCUGAACAGCCC